UACGGAGGGAGCUAGCGUUGUUCGGAAUUACUGGGCGUAAAGCGCACGUAGGCGGCUUUGUAAGUUAGAGGUGAAAGCCCGGGGCUCAACCCCGGAAUUGCCUUUAAGACUGCAUCGCUUGAAUCCGGGAGAGGUGAGUGGAAUUCCGAGUGUAGAGGUGAAAUUCGUAGAUAUUCGGAAGAACACCAGUGGCGAAGGCGCUCACUGGACCGGUAUUGACGCUGAGGUGCGAAAGCGUGGGGAGCAAACAGG
rnacentral:rRNA from 1 species